rnacentral:rRNA from 1 species
UACAGAGGUCCCAAGCGUUGUUCGGAUUCAUUGGGCGUAAAGGGUGCGUAGGCGGCGCGGUAAGUCGGGUGUGAAAUCUCGGAGCUUAACUCCGAAACUGCAUUCGAUACUGCCGUGCUUGAGGACUGGAGAGGAGACUGGAAUUUACGGUGUAGCGGUGAAAUGCGCAGAUAUCAGGAGGAACACCGGUGGCGAAGGCGGUUCUCUGGGCAUGUCCUGACGCUGAGGAGCGAAAGUGUGGGGAGCGAACAGG